UACGUAGGGUGCGAGCGUUGUCCGGAUUUAUUGGGCGUAAAGAGCUCGUAGGCGGUUUGUCGCGUCGGCCGUGAAAUCUCCACGCUUAACGUGGAGCGUGCGGUCGAUACGGGCAGACUUGAGUUCGGUAGGGGAGACUGGAAUUCCUGGUGUAGCGGUGAAAUGCGCAGAUAUCAGGAGGAACACCGGUGGCGAAGGCGGGUCUCUGGGCCGUAACUGACGCUGAGGAGCGAAAGCGUGGGGAGCAAACAGG
rnacentral:rRNA from 1 species